CCCAAAGUGCUGGGAUUACAGACAUGAGCCACUGUGCCCUGCCUGACAUCUUUAUUUUGUCUCAUUCCUACUCUAAAAUCAAAACAUUCUUUAAAAAGCCAGAAAAGCACACCAAAUUAUGAUUUUUUUAAUUUUUACUUAGUUGGCCUUUUUUUUUUUUUUUUAAGAGAUGGCUUUUGCUAUGUUGCCCAGGCUGGACUCGAACUUCUGGGCUCGAAGGAUUCUCCCACCUCAGCCUCAUGAAUAGCUGGGACUAUACGCACUGCCAUCUCUCUUGGGUGUUUUUAUUUUAUUUCUUCAUUUAUUGUAUCCCAUCAGCCCAACAAGCCAACUUCUCUCACAUAGGAAUGGGGGCCUGGGUACAAAUUUCUUAUCCAGGCAAGAGGGGAUGAAAGGAGAUCCUCCUUCUUGCCCUUCUGAUGGUUGGGACAGAGUCCCUUUUAUGCGCGUGGGAGGUGUUUUGGUCUGGAUAGACACUGGGUAUAGAUUGACCUAGAAUAAAUGUUCUCACAUAAAUUCAUACCAAUUGCACAACAGUAUGGUUUAGAAAUCUUGAAAGCGUAUUUUAAAGCCCCAAAAUUACCUAAGAGGAAUUGAAAGGCUUCAAGCUCCUAAUACUCAGCAUAUGAGUGAGGAAAUGAUAGGACAAACCUGCAAAAGAAACUGUACUUCUGCAAAGGGGGCAGCCAGAAGGAAACGGAUCCCCUACUUCCAGAGAAAGAAAAGCUGACUGAUUUUCGUCUUCCUUUGCUCCCACAGAGCCUCACUCUAUGGAUUUUCCCAGACUGAUUCCUUAUGUGGCAUCUUGGCUAUAAUCAGUCUUGAGACAGGCCACCAAACAAAAAGCUUUUGAUUGCCAGUUUUCGCCACCUGCUGGUUGUUUCACAGCGUUACUCUCUUCAUCCAUCCAAGAAAGUUCUUUCAUCCAUCAUCAAUAUAAAUAUUCUCCAAGUUUAUGAAAUUCAAAAGGUACAUUAUUCUAACAUGAACAUACUAAUGUUUAAUAUAGGUAUGUAUCGGCCAGGUGUGGUUGCUCAUGCCUGUAAUCUCAGCACUUUGGGAGGCUGCGGUGGGUGUAUUGCUUGAGGCCAAGAGUUUGAGACCAGCCUGCACAACAUGACAAAACUCUAUCUCCACAAAAAAUACAAAAAUUAGCGGGGCAUGGUGGUGUGUGCCUGUAGUCCCAUCUACUCUGAAGGCUGAGAUAGGACGAUCACUUGAGCCCAGGAGGUGGAGGCUGUAGUGAGCUGUGAUCACACCACUGCACUGCAGCCUGGGUGACAGACUGAUACCCUGUCUCAAAAAAAAAAAGAAAAGAAAAGAAAAAAAAAAUCAUGUGUGUGUAUCAAAUCUUCCCAGCUAGUAAACUUUUUAUUGAAAAUGUGGGUAGAAUGAGACUAUUAACUGAGGAUAUUGAUAACUAAUAGGUCAGAUGGAAGAGUAAACCAUGGCCCCAACCUGAAAUGGAAAUUAAUCCAUAAAUAAAAUGAGCUGACUAGAGAGAAUAAAAACAAGUAGUCCAUAUAGUUUGCAUAAAAGAAAAAUGAGGCCGAGCGCAGUGGCUCACGGCUGUAAUCCCAGCACUUUGGGAGGCAGAGGUGGGCAGAUCACCUGAGGUCAGGAAUUCAAGACCAGGCUGACCAAUAUGGUGGAACCCCGUCUCUACUAAAAAUACAAAAAUUAGCCAGGCGUGGUGGCGGGGACCUGUAGUCCCAGCUACUCAGGAGGCUGAAACAGGAGAAUUGCUUGAACCCGGGAGGCAGAGAUUGCAGUGAGCCAAGAUCAUGCCACUGCACUCCAGCAUGGGUGAGAGAGUGAGACUCCAUCUCAAAAAAAAGAAAGAAAGAAAGAAAGAAAGAAAACUGCUUAAAAAAUAACUUCUCAGCCGGGUGCAGUGGCUCAUGCCUGUAAUCCCAGCACUUUGGGAGGCCGAGGUGGAUGGAUCACGAGGUCAGGAGAUCGAGACCAUCCUGGCCAACAUGGUGAAACCCUGUCUUUACUAAAACUACAAAAAUUAGCUGGGCAUGGUGGCAAGUGCCUGUAAUCCCAGCUACUCGAGAGGCUAGGCAGGAGAAUCACUUGAACCA
rnacentral:lncRNA from 1 species